GAUGAACGCUGGCGGCGUGCCUAAUACAUGCCAGUAGAACGCUGAAGGAGGAGCUUGCUUCUCUGGAUGAGUUGCGAACGGGUGAGUAACGCGUAGGUAACCUGCCUGGUAGCGGGGGAUAACUAUUGGAAACGAUAGCUAAUACCGCAUAAUAGUAGAUGUUGCAUGACAUUUGCUUAAAAGGUGCAAUUGCAUCACUACCAGAUGGACCUGCGUUGUAUUAGCUAGUUGGUGGGGUAACGGCUCACCAAGGCGACGAUACAUAGCCGACCUGGGAGGGGGAUCGGCCACACCGGGACUGGGACACGGCCCAGACUCCUACGGGGAGCAGCAGUAGGGAAUCUUCGGCAAUGGACGGAAGGCUGACCGAGCCACGCCGCGGGAGUGAAGAAGGUUUUCGGAUCGUAAAGAUCUGUUGUAAGAGAAGAACGAGUGUGGGAGUGGAAAGUUCACACUGUGACGGUAUCUUACCAGAAAGGGACGGCUAACUACGUG
rnacentral:rRNA from 1 species